rnacentral:rRNA from 1 species
GACGAACGCUGGCGGCGUGCUUAACACAUGCAAGUCGAACGGAGUGGCGAACGGGUGAGUAACACUUGGGUGAUCUGCCUUGCACUUCGCGAUAAGCUUGGGAAACUGGGUCUAAUACCCGAUAGUGCAAGAUGAGCUCGCGGCCUAUCAGCUUGUUGGUGGGGUAAUGGCCUACCAAGGCGUCUACGGGUAGCCGGCCUGAGUGGGUGUACGGCCACAUUGGGACGUAGAUACCGGCCAGACUACUACGGGAGGCAGCAGUGGGGAAUAUUGCAGAAUGGGCGGAGGCCUGAUGCAGCGACGCCGCGUGGGGGAUGAAGGCAUGCGGGUUGUAAACUCCUUGCGACAGGGACGCGGUACCUGUAUAAGAAGCACCGGGUGACUACGUGCCAGCAGCCGCGGUGAUUC